CCCUUAGACGUUCUGGGCCGCACGCGCGCUACACUGACCAGUGCAACAAGCAUCCGUCCUUGGCCGACAGGCCCGGGCAAUCUUUGAACGCUGGUCGUGAUGGGGAUAGACUUUUGCAAUUUUUGGUCUUCAACGAGGAAUUCCUAGUAAACGCAAGUCAUCAACUUGCAUUGAUUACGUCCCUGCCCUUUGUACACACCGCCCGUCGCACCGACCGAUUGAAUGGUCCGGUGAAGCCUCCGGAUUGGCGCGCACCUCGGUGCCGCCGAGAAGUUGGCUAAACCUUACCAUUUAGAGGAAGGUGAAGUCGUAACA
rnacentral:rRNA from 1 species